GGUGGUAGCAAUAUCAUAGUGGCAAACGGGUGCGUAACGCGUAAGGAACCUGCCCCUGAUUGGGGGAUAGCCCGGCGAAAGCUGGGGUAAACCCGCAUGGUUCAAUGAUCUCGCAUGGGGUUAUUGAUAAAUAUUUAUAGAUCGGGGAGGGUCUUGCGUCUGAUUAAUUAGUUGGUGGGGUAACGGCUCACCAAGACGAUGAUCAGUAGGGGCUCUGAGAGGAGCGGCCCCCACAUGGACACUGAGACACGGGUCCAACUCCUACGGGAGGCAGCAGUAGGGAAUAUUGGGCAAUGGGCGAGAGCCUGACCCAGCCAUGCCGCGUGCAGGAAGACGGCCCUCUGGGUUGUAAACUGCUUUUAUCGGGGAAGAACAGACGGGGUGCGCCCCGUUGUGACGGUACUCGAUGAAUAAGCACCGGCUAACUCCGUGCCAGCAGCCGCGGUAAUACGGAGGGUGCAAGCGUUGUCCGGAUUUAUUGGGUUUAAAGGGUGCGUAGGUGGCUUUUUAAGUCUGGUUUGAAAGUUGGUCGCUUAACGAUCAAGGGUGGCUGGAUACUGGGGAGCUUGAAUAUUGUGGAGGUAGCCGGAAUGGGUUGUGUAGCGGUGAAAUGCAUAGAUAUGACCCGGAACACCGAUUGCGAAGGCAGGCUACUACGCAAUGAUUGACACUGAGGCACGAAAGCAUGGGGAGCAAACAGGAUUAGAUACCCUGGUAGUCCAUGCCGU
rnacentral:rRNA from 1 species